rnacentral:rRNA from 1 species
UACGGGGGGAGCAAGCGUUGUUCGGAUUUACUGGGCGUAAAGGGCGCGUAGGCGGUCAGCACAAGUCAGUUGUGAAAUCUCCGGGCUUAACUCGGAAAGGUCAACUGAUACUGUGCGACUAGAGUGCAGAAGGGGCAACUGGAAUUCUCGGUGUAGCGGUGAAAUGCGUAGAUAUCAAGAGGAACACCUGCGGCGAAGGCGGGUGCUGGGCCGACACUGACGCUGAGGCGACGAAAGCGUAGGGAGCGAACAGG